ensembl:misc_RNA Metazoa_SRP Metazoan signal recognition particle RNA
GCCUAUAGUACCAGCUACUCAGGAGGCUGAGGUGGGAGGAUCGCUUGAGCCCAGGAGUUCUGGGCUAUAGUGCACUAUGCAAUCUGGUGUCCACACUAAGUUCGGCAUCGAUAUGGUGACCUCCCUGGAGUGGGGAACCACCAGGUUGCUUAAGGAGGGAUGAACCUGCCCAGGUCCGAAACGGAGCAGAUCAAAACUCCCGUGCUGAUCAGUAGUGGGAUUGCGCCUGUCAAUAGCCACUGCACUCCAGCCUGGGCAACAUAGCAGGAUCCCGUCUCUU